UGGAACUCAGGUAGGGUGAUUGCUACUGUUGCUGAAUUUGUUUCUGGAAUCCCACAGUAGAGUAUGGGAGAAAGAUGCAGAGGCUGGAGGAGAGCCAAUGGGAGUCAGGCUCGUGUUCACCGUCAGAUCCACAACAGGAGCUAUGUGAAUGACACCACCCACCAGAGGCAGUGAGAAAAAGAUGAUGUGGGGCAAGUGGACCUGUGAAGAAAGGUUCUUUGGAGCAACUCCUGUUUGCAUUUUCAGGAAAUCAGCAGUCCAGUUGAUAGUUCGGCAGCAGCAGCUCAGUCCACUUGCAAACACUUCCUGGAUACACCAGAAGUCCAGUUUGGUGGUGUCGGGAUAGUAAACUCAAAUCAGCAGCAGUGGCAGGAACAGCUAGGCCUCAGCCAAAUCAGCACGAGGGCCCAGGAGGUAAAAACUGAGGUAGAAGGAGGAGAAGAGAAUUGCCAUGGCUCGGGGGCAGAAGGAUCAGAUGUAAGAGCUGCAAGAGAGAAGUCAUCCAGCAAUGUAAGUGGAAAGGGAAAGCAGCCCUAUAGGUGGGUGGGUGGACUGCUCAGAAGGUCACAGGGCAACAAAGAUAAAAUAUAGAUUUAGAAAGUG
rnacentral:lncRNA from 1 species